rnacentral:tRNA from 1 species
GUGGGUGUAGCUCAGCUGGUAGAGCGCCAGACUGUGGAUCUGGACGUCGCGGGUUCGAACCCCGUCACCCACCCCA